CGGGUGGGGAGAAUCCGGCCGGAGCCUCGACAGAAGUCUCGGCUUCGGCGGAGACCUUGAAAGAGCGGGAAGAGGAGGCGGCCUUGAGGUGGGGCUUGGAGGUGAGGAAGGAGAGAGUUGAGGAUUGCUUCCAUGGAAUGGAAAUGCCGGUGGAUUUGGGAGUGGAGAGAGAUGGGGUGAAGAGGGUGGCUUGAGUGGCCAUGGCCAUGGGAUUUGGAGCAGAGGAAGAGGAUUGGGAAUG
rnacentral:lncRNA from 1 species